rnacentral:tRNA from 1 species
GCCUUGAUGGCGGAACUGGCAGACGCGCAUGGUUGAGGGCCAUGUCCUUUCGGGGGUGGAGGUUCGAGUCCUCUUCAAGGCA